rnacentral:lncRNA from 1 species
CUCUCGGACAAAGAUGGACAUAUCAAAGUUACCGAUUAGGACAGUGUGCAGUCUGCACAAGUCAGCUAGCAAGGACUUCAGGCUCAGGACUGCCACAUGUGGAGCUAGGUCGCCAGCCCACCCCUGGAGACGAAUGAGGAAAAAGCUGCUGAAGCCUCUCAGCUGGCAAAGCCUGCGAAGGUAUUCUGCACAACACAAAGCAUUAUUCAUAAAGGCAUAUGUGGCUGAUAGUCCUCUACGGGAUAUUUGGAUGUCUCCCAUAAUUACUUCACUUCUCACCGUUUCAGAGCGGAGCCUUCAGGCAGCUCCAACUUUUCCAUGUUGCACCCAGCGCUGACAACAGAUGGUGCUGCCUCAAUCCCCUCAGCCAAAAGAGGCACCGAAUCUGACUAACUUUGGGGAUUCCUGGUAUGAAGAGCCGCAGGUGAUGGGUAUGUCAGACUUUCAGGAAAGCACGCAGCCGUUUUCAACUGUGCAGGAACGUCUGCUCCAGCCCCUUCCGUGACCAAAGUCGGCCUGAGUCACCCCACAGCAAAGGCAACCUGGAGCACCAUCACUACUUAAUGAAGUAAGACUUAUAUAAAACAUAUAUAUAAAUAGAAACAGCAUCAAUUCAGUGUGAUUGGUGUUAUUUUCACUAGCCCUCCUUGGAACAGAAUCCGUGUCUUUCACCAUAUCUGUAAAUCAUUAAAUACACUGGCCAAUUGCUUAUUUUUCUAAGAAUGAGACACCAAAUUUGAACAUCUCAGCUGAGGAUGGGAAUAAAUUUCUGUGGGAGAUGAGUAUAGCUCA